rfam:Oryctolagus cuniculus chromosome 11, whole genome shotgun sequence.
CAAAAGGCAUUUUUAAAUGCCACAAAAAAAGAAGAUAGAGGGAUCAU